AGCUAACUCUCUCUGUUUGAUCUUCUUUCAGUGGUUCUUGUACAAUAGACUGUUCUUCAUCUAAAAUUUCAGUAUCUGAACUUUCCUGACUACUACACUCGACUUCUAGAUCAUCACACUCAUCUAUGGAUCACAGUAAAUCUGUAAAACAUACAAUAGAUAAAAGUAUCCAACGUAUGAAUUUAGUUAGGGACAAAACAACAUAAAGUUCAAAUCAUUCUCUGGAUGAAAAACGGUUUACCUUCAUUCUCUAGAUCAUCUAUAGAACAAUCAUGUUCUAUAUAAGAUGUGUUUGAAAUUCCUGAAUCAAAUGUAGUAUGACUGGUGGAUGUCAUAGGUAUUUUUGUAUUUGGUGUGUUUUCUCUUUGAAAUGUGACAUGACUUGAACAUGAUCCUCUUAUUAUACCUGAGAUGGGAGCAUUAUAUUAGUAUAUUAUAUAAUGAACAAAAAAUUAAUCAGCUACCAUUGUAGUCUCUUCUAUUAUCAGUAAAUUAGGAUAUAUAACAGACCUUGAUCUCUUCGACUCUUUUUUGUGUCAUUAGGGUUCUCAUUAUUUUUUUUGUCAAAACAAACUACACCAAAUAAGAUUAGAGAUAUUAGCUGAAUGUGAGGAAGCCUGGUAUAUAAACAAUGGUCAAUAGAGAAUAUAAAACACCUCGUUUGUUUGUAGGAUUUGACACUGAAACUUGCAUUUUAAACCUUGAUGAAAGGCUAUUAUUGGUAAUAUCACUCAUUAAUCUUCGAAAAACUGUACUCAAAGGGACAUCUUUUCUUUGAGAAUGAUCUAUUCUCUGUUUUGAAAUAGAUUGGGAACGCAGCCGAUGACCAUCAUCCUCAAAGCGAGGUUGAUGCUUUCUUUUCAUCAUGUUCAUAGAAGGGCUAUGUUAGCAGAAACUCUUCGUAUUAAAGACAGCAUAUGAAAAAUACACGGUUUGUUCUCAGUUACAUGCACUGGAACUGAGGAGUAGUAUAAUCACCUUUAAAACAAAGUUGCUAGGAUGCAAAUAUGGAUUUAUCAAACAAUUUACAUUAGCUGAUUUACUAAAGGGAGUUCAACAACAGCUUGUUAAAGUAAGUAUAUUUGUUUUUAAAUUUCUGUAUGCUCAUAUAUUUAGUUAAGUGCGUUUUGUGAAAACUUAUUUAAAGAUUUAUAAGUUUAAACAUGUAUUCAUUUUCCUGAUAGUCAGUUUGAUAGGUUAGAUUCACAAAACAAAUCUAGUCUUAAUUAAAAAUCUUCUUUAUUGAUAAAAACCAAACAAUACGACAUAUGUAAAUAAAUCAGAUAAUAGAAAAUUCAAAAAAACAUAGUUUCUGAAAAUAAAAAGAUUAUUAAAAGCAAAAAAAAACACGCAUCAUCUCAGUUUUUUCCACUUCUACUUCUUUUCCUGCUUCAUUAUCUUUGAGCAUUGUUUCUUAGAGGUAGAAGAAAGAUCAUCAAUCUCACAUUCUUCCUUUCGUUUUGAUAGUGGGGUUGACGACAAACAUGUGUUCUCUUCACUUUCCAUGCUGAUCAAAGAGACCUUGAAAAUAAUAGAAUAAACUUUUAAUGAAUACACAUAUAAACAUGAAUAAUAAAAUAUCUAAUUAGGAAGAAUAAUGAUAAUUUGAGUAGACCUGUCCUGAGGAACGGUCAGAUAAAGCUCUGUUAGUCAAUAUAUCAUCAGUAUUCUCAUCAUCCGAGUGAGUUAUGAUCUCAUCAGCAGACCAUGUUUUCCCAAUGUUAAAUAUAUCAGCUUCAUAGUCAACAUUGUCUUUGCUCACAUAGACACCAAAUUUGAAAGUUUUUCCAAUAAGCUCAUUAAUAGCAUCAGGCAAGUCUUCAGGAUCUUCAACCUAAAUAAAAAACAAACACCUGCUAUAUUAAAAACGACUAUAUGUAUGUAAUAUACAACAAUUAAAUGGAAAAUUUUACAUACCUCUUCUAGAGAACCAUCUAAGAGCACUUCAGCACUCACUCCCAAAAUUGGUCCAGCAAUAGUAUCAUGCAGCAUCACCUUAGUUUCACCAGUGUCAUCCUUUAUAAGUAGAUGGAGUUUGAACCUUGAAAAAUUUAAAAUUGGUAAGUUAUAUGAGUCAGAUACAUAUAUCUAUACAAUUAAGAUCAAAAAACACACUGAGGUGCAACAUUGGUUACAGACUGAUGGCAUGAAUCACAAUACCGUAGAUGUUUCACAGGAACCACAUCCCUUUUGGUAAUGUCGGUAACCUUUUUGAAGUGGCACUUAACACAACCAAAAUAAAACCAAGCCCAGUCUGUGUCAAUUGCAUAAAUUGUACCCUUAAGAAUGCAGUUUUCAGUCUACAAAAAUAACAUUAGUUUUAGAAUAUAGGUAGAUUGUAACAGUAUAUACCUUAGAUAUACUAAAAACUUACAUCAGUCGCCAUAAUGAUAUCCAGAAUUGAUCUCUCAGGAUAAAUAGACCAUUUAUCAGGUUGGCGUUUGCUUCCUUUAUGUUUUGCAAGCUCAUGACUACCAGUUGUGAGAGCAAGCUCGUUCUUAGGCAACCUGAAUAAUUAACCAUACGGUUAGAGAGAUCAUGUAUAUUUAAUGAGUAGAUAUAAAAUAGUUGUUAUGUGAUUAGAAUUAAAUGUACACUUGUAGAUAGUCUUGGACAUCAAAUCCGGGUGGAUUUAUUUCGAUAGUGGAAGAAUCAAAAGCAUUUGUAAUCUGAACUUGUCCUGCAACAAAGCAUAAAAAUCUAUUAAGUCAAUCAAAAGCAUAAUAAUGUAAAAAAAUUUCUUAAUCGUUUAGUCAAAUUCUUACCCUUGUAAACAUUGAUUUUAGCAAAUCUCAGUAAACAGAGAAAAUUCUUAUUGGCUUGAGCAACUUUGUAUGCAUAUAGCAUAUGUUCAGCAAACCGGCCCCAAAGACAACAUGCUAUUUGGUGAUCCCUGAAAUAUACAUUAGAAGAUUAACACAUUAAAAAACACGAUUUGAUUACAUAUGAAAAGUAUAUUUGCAAAAGGUAAUCUAUAACUUACCCUGUAUCUGUCAAAGUAAACUCAAGCUUCUUUGUUUUUUUACCUUGCACAGGCACAACCUGGAUAUCUCCGAUAUCAAUUGGUUGGCCAAUAACAUCUACAAACAUAUUAUUAAAAAAUAAGAAGAUUAUUAAUCAGAAACCGUAGCAUAUUUGUGAAUAAGAAAACUCUAAAAAUGUACCAAUCAAAAAAUUAGAAUCAAGACUUCCGUUCAUGAUUUCUGUGAAAGAUGUUAAUGACAGAAAAUUAUCCUCAUCUUUGAGGGUGGAAUUGGUGACGUUGGAGUUGCUGAGGAUCGACAUUUUGUACUUAUGACUCGUCGGUCGGUACUUUCCGGCAGCUGCGGUUAGUGAGAAAUUCUCAAUGAACCUCCAUUGUCCAAGCUGGAGUUUCUUAACACAAGCAAAGAAGAGUCUCUUGCAGGACUUUAACUUCGACCUUCCAAGAUGUUUUGUAUGGUUUGACAUCAUUGAGCAAAGUGAUAGUCGGGUCUGAGGUAAUCAUAGCCAUAUGAGUGUAUGUUUUUUUUUUUUUUUGCGGAUGUAGGAGGUAUUAGUUGAUCGUCCUAGUAUUUAUAGUGAUAUGCUAAUUUAAUGAUAGCGUGCUGAAGAUUUGAUUCGAUUUCCAUAUAGUUAAAUUCGAUAGGAUAUUCUGAUUACCAUAUUCUGUUGGAGUUGUUAUAUGAAUUUAAGAUCUAAAAGAUUAUGAACGUAGAUGGAUAGUCGAGUAAAAACGUAGUAGAAAAAUAAGGGAGGAAAUCUUGUUAGGCAAAAAGAAAUAUCUAUUUUCAAUUUCGCAAAAUAGCGUUAAAGAUAUACUAUAUUAAGUUGUUAUUGAUUA